AUUAAGGUGGCAGAGUUGGUAAUUGCAUAAAACUUAAGCCUUUACUACCAGAGGUUCAAAUCCUCUCCUUAAUA
rnacentral:tRNA from 1 species